AUUAAACGCUGGCGGCAUGCCUUACACAUGCAAGUCGAACGGCAGCACGGGGGCAACCCUGGUGGCGAGUGGCGAACGGGUGAGUAACGCAUCGGAACGUGCCCUGGAGUGGGGGGAUAACGUAGCGAAAGUUACGCUAAUACCGCAUAUUCUGUGAGCAGGAAAGCAGGGGAUCGCAAGACCUUGCGCUCUGGGAGCGGCCGAUGUCGGAUUAGCUAGUUGGUGGGGUAAAGGCCUACCAAGGCGACGAUCCGUAGCGGGUCUGAGAGGAUGAUCCGCCACACUGGGACUGAGACACGGCCCAGACUCCUACGGGAGGCAGCAGUGGGGAAUUUUGGGACAAUGGGCGCAAGCCUGAUCCAGCCAUGCCGCGUGAGUGAAGAAGGCCUGGUUGUAAGACGUACUUUCGGUCC
rnacentral:rRNA from 1 species